AUGGAACCAGCUCCAGAGGAUGAAUCAUGACUAGUCUAAGACUAGCCCUAUUCCCUUUGUUAGUGAUUGGCCCGGGCAGGAGAGGAGUGGGGGCAUGUGCCCCUUCUCUGGCCAAUGAAAUGUAGAGGAAAGUCUAUUGGAGAAUUUUGGGAAAUAUUUUCCAUUCUGAAGAGAACAGAGAAGCAUCCAGACUGGCAUUUGACCGAAUAUUGGGAUACCAUGGCCCGGAAUUUUCUCUGCUGAGGAUUUUCAAACCUUGAGUGAAAAGCUCCCCAUCUGGACUAGUGUGCUGAUUGCGUGCUGGGCUAAUGCCGUAUUCCUUCGUCGUGGGG